rnacentral:rRNA from 1 species
UACGUAGGGUGCGAGCGUUGUCCGGAAUUAUUGGGCGUAAAGAGCUUGUAGGCGGUUUGUCGCGUCUGCCCGUGAAAAUCCGGGGCUCAACCCCGGACUUGCGGUGGGUACGGGCAGACUAGAGUGUGGUAGGGGAGACUGGAAUUCCUGGUGUAGCGGUGAAAUGCGCAGAUAUCAGGAGGAACACCGAUGGCGAAGGCAGGUCUCUGGGCCACUACUGACGCUGAGAAGCGAAAGCAUGGGGAGCGAACAGG